rnacentral:rRNA from 1 species
UACGUAGGGGGCGAGCGUUGUCCGGAAUCACUGGGUGUAAAGGGUGCUCAGGCGGAUCGGUAAGUCAGGGGUGAAAUUUCACAGCUUAACUGUGAAUGUGCUUUUGAUACUGCCGGUCUAGAGUUCAGAAGAGGGCAAUGGAAUUCUUGGUGUAGCGGUGAAAUGCGUAGAUAUCAAGAAGAACACCAGUUGCGAAGGCGGUUGCCUGGUCUGUAACUGACGCUCAAGCACGAAAGCGUGGGGAU